rnacentral:rRNA from 1 species
GACGAACGCUGGCGGCGUGCUUAACACAUGCAAGUCGAACGCGCCUGUCCUCUGGGUUUCUGGGGGGUGGGUGAGUGGCGAACGGGUGAGUAACACGUGAGUAACCUGCCCCCUUCUUCGGGAUAACGGUCUGAAAGGGCUGCUAAUACCGGGUAUUCACUGGUCUCCGCAUGGGGGCUGGUGGAAAGGUUUUUUUCUGGGGGGGGAUGGGCUCGCGGCCUAUCAGCUUGUUGGUGGGGUGAUGGCCCACCAAGGCUUUGACGGGUAGCCGGCCUGAGAGGGUGACCGGUCACAUUGGGUCUGAGAUCCGGCCCAGACUGCUACGGGAGGCAGCCGUGGGGAAUAUUGCGCAAUGGGCGAAAGCCUGAUGCAGCGACGCCGCGUGAGGGAUGGAGGCCUUCGGGUUGUGAACCUCUUUCGCCCGUGGUCAAGCCGCGACGUGGGUCGUGGUGAGGGUAGUGGGUAAAGAAGCGCCGGCUAACUACGUG